rnacentral:rRNA from 1 species
UACAGAGGCCUCGAGCGUUAGGCGGAAUCACUGGGCUUAAAGCGUGUGUAGGCGGACUUCUAAGUACCUUGUGAAAUCCCACGGCUUACCCGUGGAACUGCUGGGUAUACUGGUCGUCUUGAGCCACUUAGGGGCUACCGGAACAAAUGGUGGAGCGGUGAAAUGCGUAGAUAUCAUUUGGAACGCCAAUGGUGAAAACAGGUAGCUGGGAGUGUGCUGACGCUGAGACACGAAAGCCAGGGGAGCGAACGGG